rnacentral:rRNA from 1 species
GACGAACGCUGGCGGCGUGCUUAACACAUGCAAGUCGAACGGAAAGGCCCUGCUUGUGUGGGGUGCUCGAGGGGCGAAGGGGUGAGUAACACGUGAGUAACCUGGCCUGGACUUGGUGAUAACUUCAGGAAAGCGGGGCUAAUACCGGAUAGGAGCUCCUGCUGCAGGGUGGGGUUUGGAAAGUUUCGGCGGUUGGGGAUGGACGCGCGGCUUAUCAGCUUGUUGGGGGGGUAGUGGCUUACCAAGGCUUUGACGGGUAGCCUGCCUGGGAGGGUGACCGGCCACAUUGGGACUGAGAUACGGCCCAGACUCCUACGGGAGGCAGCAGUGGGGAAUAUUGCACAAUGGGCGGAAGCCUGAUGAAGAAACGCCGCGUGCGGGAUGACGGCCUUCGGGUUGUAAACCGCUUUCGCCUGUGACGAAGCGUGAGUGACGGUAAUGGGUAAAGAAGCACCGGCUAACUACGUG